GUAAGUUUAGUUUAAUCUAAAACUUUAGAUCGUGACUCUAAGGACAGGGGUUAAAACCCCCUAGCUCACC
rnacentral:tRNA from 1 species